CUUAUCCUGAGCAGUUCGUUAAGAAAACCAUAAUUCAACCUACAGUAUUUCCUUGGGAGUCUGAGUUUAUCAUGAUAUGCAAUGCCCCCCUCGAGGGGACUGCAGAAGACGGUAACAGGAUACCCACCUUAUCGUAAGAUAGGGCGUGAAUUAUAUUUUCUGACGGCUGUCCGGGAUUUUU
rnacentral:other from 1 species